rnacentral:rRNA from 1 species
UACAGAGGGUGCAAGCGUUGUUCGGAAUUAUUGGGCGUAAAGAGCGUGUAGGCGGCCAGGUAGGUCUGCUGUGAAAACUCGAGGCUUAACCUCGAGAUGUCGGCGGAAACCAUCUGGCUAGAGUCCGGAAGAGGAGAAUGGAAUUCCCGGUGUAGCGGUGAAAUGCGCAGAUAUCGGGAAGAACACCCGUGGCGAAGGCGGUUCUCUGGGACGGUACUGACGCUGAGACGCGAAAGCGUGGGGAGCGAACAGG